rnacentral:pre_miRNA from 1 species
GUUAUACUUCCUUCGUUCGGAAUUACUUGUCGAGGAAAUGGAUGUAUCUAGAUUGUAUUAGAUACAUCCAUUUCCUCGACAAGUAAUUUCAAACGGAGGGAGUAUCAA